AUAAAAAUGAAACUCUUUUGUUUAUUAAUAUCUUUUUUCUUCGUGGAUGUAUUGGCAAAUUAUGAUGAGAAUUAUUUGAAGUAUACUAUCUUGACAACUGAAGCCAUGAAGCUUGCUUCUGAAAAGAAUGAUUUAACUGUAGAAGGUAGAACUGGA